GACAGAGGGUGCAAACGUUGUUCGGAAUUACUGGGCGUAAAGCGCGUGUAGGCUGCUCGGAAAGUCGGAUGUGAAAGCCCUGGGCUUAACCCAGGAAGUGCAUUCGAAACUUCCAAGCUCGAGUCCUGGAGAGGGUGGCGGAAUUCUCGGUGUAGAGGUGAAAUUCGUAGAUAUCGAGAGGAACACCGGCGGCGAAGGCGGCCACCUGGACAGUGACUGACGCUGAGACGCGAAAGCGUGGGGAG
rnacentral:rRNA from 1 species